AGGAACGCGGUUAUUUCAAUUCAACGGCUUGCGCCAAAUUCCCAAGCUGUAUGUCGUGGGUUCGAUUCCCAUCGCCCGCUCCA
rnacentral:tRNA from 1 species